UCAAGGCACGUGCAAUCCGUUUUGUCAAAAUUGCAAGGACUUUCCAUACGCGUGUAGCAACGUGUCUUUGCCGAAGUUGCAUCUGCGAUGCUCUUGUAACCCUUCAUAGCGGUGGUCAUCUCGCAGUUCCGCCGUGGCUUUUGUAUGUGUAGCACGCGUUAUUUCUUGUUUCUUCCAAUAAAAUAUUUUUACAUAAUGCGCAAGAGGAGGAAGAUAUGUGAAUGGUACAAGAUGACGUGAUCGACGUGCGUGUGUGAAUAUGUGCGAAGGAUGAUGCUGAAGUGGCGGUUUUCCACCCAAGUUAUUAGUUGUGUAACUCCAGUUUCUGAUCUAUGGAAAGUAGUGAAACGUCUUCACGAAAUACAAUUUCAUUCGUUUUCCUCCCUUGCAUUGGCACGCUGUGAGUGGUGUCGACUUCCAAAUGAGUGCAAGAAGAAGAAGAAUUGUAAAGAAUCCGUAAGUGGCCCUAGAAGACGCAGUCAUCGUGUGAGGUGUUGUCGGCAGGAACGAAGAGUCGAAGUUGUUGAAGAAGUCGUGUGACAUUUGUAUUGUUUCUGGUUAUAUACAACGCUAUUUCACAUAUCUAUGUAUAUAUAUAUAUAUUAUUAUAUUAUUAUAUAUUAUUAUAUUAAAUCUUCAGUUGGUUUAGUUGAAUGUUCAGUAAUGUAAUUUUUACAAGGUGGUUUUGUAUAUUAGAUGAGUAGCUGUUCGAUAUAAUAAUAUGUGUAUAUAUAUGUUGGAGAUGAAAGAACGCCGGAGCUCCUCCUUGGAUUCGCGGGAAUAUCGCAACUCUGUAACUUGGAUUAAACAAAUGCCGCUCCGAUUGUUCGAGAUUUAUGAUCAUGAGCUUGGGCUCGAGGCGACAAUCAGUCGCCGAACGUAGCCGCGGUCAAAGGGAUGAACGUUCUAUCUAACAAAGGCACAGAGUAACUCUAUACCUCUCCUUAAAAGAAAUAGUCGUAGCGACACGUGGCAGUAAAUACUUCAAUAGUUUCUAUCCCGCGGCCCGCCACACGCAGAUUUUGUCCUCCGGGUAAGAUGAUCGCCGGGUGUCGGCAUGCCUUUGUGGCGUAUGUUUAGCUAACGUGAGGACCCGCUAUAGAUCUUAAGAUUUAGUCAAGCGAAGUCCGUCAAAUAGAC
rnacentral:misc_RNA from 1 species